GACGAUGGCAAUCAUAGGUUCACCGGAACUUUCGUUCACACUCUGAGCUGGUUUACCUUUAGAAUAUUGAAGAACUUGCACACACAAGAGAUAACUGCCGAUGUGACCUUGGACAGUCUAAGCGGAGGACUCCAUAGAAUGCAGUACAUGCCGGCAAACAAAAUAACUGAAGUUCUUUCUAGAACUUACACUCCAAACAACAUUUGGAACAGCGUAGCAAGUUGGGGUCGCGACAUCAUCCAUCCUAUUCUUUUGGACCUUGCUCAGAAUAAGAUCCAAUUUCCUUCAGUGUGCCUUGACUGCAGAUAAAUAUUAUGCAAUUUAAAAGAGGAA